GUCUAUGUAGUAUAUUAAUUAUACUGGUCUUGUAAACCAGAGAAGGGAACUGAAACUCCCCACAGACCU
rnacentral:tRNA from 1 species